rnacentral:rRNA from 1 species
GACUCCAUGAAGCUGGAUUCGCUAGUAAUCGCGCAUCAGCCACGGCGCGGUGAAUACGUUCCCGGGCCUUGUACACACCGCCCGUCAAGCCAUGGAAGCCGGGAGUGCCUGAAGUGCGUGACCGCAAGGAGCGUCCUAGGGCAAAACCGGUGACUGGGGCUAAGUCGUAACAAGGUAAC